rnacentral:rRNA from 1 species
CGCGUAGGCGGUUUGCACAGUCAGGCGUGAAAUUCCCGGGCUUAACCUGGGGGCUGCGUUUGAUACUCGCAGACUAGAGGAUGGAAGAGGGUCGUGGAAUUCCCAGUGUAGAGGUGAAAUUCGUAGAUAUUGGGAAGAACACCGGUGGCGAAGGCGGCGACCUGGUCCAUUACUGACGCUGAGGCGCGACAGCGUGGGAGGCAAACA